rnacentral:rRNA from 1 species
CAUGCAGUCGAGCGAACAGAUAAGGAGCUUGCUCCUUUGACGUUAGCGGCGGACGGGUGAGUAACACGUGGGUAACCUACCUAUAAGACUGGAAUAACUCCGGGAAACCGGGGCUAAUGCCGGAUAACAUAUAGAACCGCAUGGUUCUAUAGUGAAAGAUGGUUUUGCUAUCACUUAUAGAUGGACCCGCGCCGUAUUAGCUAGUUGGUAAGGUAACGGCUUACCAAGGCGACGAUACGUAGCCGACCUGAGAGGGUGAUCGGCCACACUGGAACUGAGACACGGUCCAGACUCCUACGGGAGGCAGCAGUAGGGAAUCUUCCGCAAUGGGCGAAAGCCUGACGGAGCAACGCCGCGUGAGUGAUGAAGGGUUUCGGCUCGUAAAACUCUGUUAUUAGGGAAGAACAUAUGUGUAAGUAACUGUGCACAUCUUGACGGUACCUAAUCAGAAAGCCACGGCUAACUACGUGCCAGCAGCCGCGGUAAUACGUAGGUGGCAAGCGUUAUCCGGAAUUAUUGGGCGUAAAGCGCGCGUAGGCGGUUUCUUAAGUCUGAUGUGAAAGCCCACGGCUCAACCGUGGAGGGUCAUUGGAAACUGGGAAACUUGAGUGCAGAAGAGGAAAGUGGAAUUCCAUGUGUAGCGGUGAAAUGCGCAGAGAUAUGGAGGAACACCAGUGGCGAAGGCGACUUUCUGGUCUGUAACUGACGC